rnacentral:rRNA from 1 species
AUUGAACGCUGGCGGCAGGCCUAACACAUGCAAGUCGAGCGGAUGAAGAGAGCUUGCUCUCUGAUUCAGCGGCGGACGGGUGAGUAAUGCCUAGGAAUCUGCCUGGUAGUGGGGGACAACGUUUCGAAAGGAACGCUAAUACCGCAUACGUCCUACGGGAGAAAGUGGGGGAUCUUCGGACCUCACGCUAUCAGAUGAGCCUAGGUACGAUUAGCUAGUUGGUGAGGUAAAGGCUCACCAAGGCGACGAUCGUUAACUGGUCUGAGAGGAUGAUCAGUCACACUGGAACUGAGACACGGUCCAGACUCCUACGGGAGGCAGCAGUGGGGAAUAUUGGACAAUGGGCGAAAGCCUGAUCCAGCCAUGCCGCGUGUGUGAAGAAGGUCUUCGGAUUGUAAAGCACUUUAAGUUGGGAGGAAGGGCAGUAAGUUAAUACCUUACUGUUUUGACGUUACCGACAGAAUAAGCAUCGGCUAACUCCGUGCCAGCCGCCGCCGUAA